AAUUGAUAAUGGAGCAAACGUUUGGUAAUAAAAUAUACUUUUCGACAAACUAUGAUAUUGACAUGAAAUGUCAGAAUAACUUUAAUAAUAAAAUGAUAAUUUUUCUAUUAUAAUUUAGGAAAAUUAUAUCCUCGUGAACUAGUGCGCAGAUGCGCCCGAAAGACCUCCAUGUUCAAUGAAAAAAAAAGAAAAAAAAUCAUUGCUGCUUUUGACAUUUACAUAAAUGUAUGUGCCAACUGUUUCAUUUCUAAUAAAAUAUUCAAUAGGGUUUACAAGGAAAUUGCGGCUUCCAAGUACUAAGUGGGAGGCCAUUCAUUAUCAAUUUAUCAUCACUGAAAACGAAAAUAAAAUAAAAUAAAAAUCCAGAACCACUGCCGGUGACAGGAAUUAGAUAUAGGAAGAUUAAGGUGGUGUUUGUUUUUUAACUUAAUGACUUAAAGUGACUUAACUUAAUUAAUUAAGUUAAUUAGAGGUGUUUGUUUUUAUAACUUAAUGAGACUUUUUAGAUAAUUUUGACUUAAUAAAAUAAGCUAAUUUUUUUAGCUUUUUACUUAAUGGAGAAAUCUGAAUUAAGUCAAUUACUUGCUAAUGUCAAAAAUAUCCUUACUUUAUAAUUUAUUUUUCAUGUCUAUCCCAAACUCACCCAUAGACAUUUACCCCCACAUAAAAAUAUCCUUGUUUUUCUUUCUUAUAUUAUAUACGAUAAAAUUUAAAAUUUAUGGUAUUUUAUAUAUUAAAAUUCCAAAAUAAUUAUGUAUUCACUUGAAUAUGGUUUUACUUAUAAAUGUUAAAAUAUUGUGGUAUUUAAUAUAUUAUUUAUUUGACAUUCAAAUUUAAUAAGGAUACAAAUGUAAAAGUACAUAUUUUUAGCUUUUUAAGUUGAAAAAAACAAACAACUUAAUACUUAUUUUAUGAGAUUCAGACAAAAAAAUAAACAUAUUAUUCAGAUUCAGACAUUCAGAUAUAUUCAGAAUUCAGACUAAUUCAGGUCUAUUCAGAUUUCAGACAAAAAAACAAACGCCACCUAAGUUAUGCGAUAUCGUAAUUUAAUUUCUGAAAAGAAAAUUAUUAAAAUGAUAAAUUUCACUCCACACAUCAUAUUGCUCAAAUUCCAUUAUGAUUUUU
rnacentral:lncRNA from 1 species